CAGUCGCCGCGGUAAUACGGAGGGUGCAAGCGUUAUCCGGAUUCACUGGGUUUAAAGGGUGCGUAGGCGGAUCUGUAAGUCAGUGGUGAAAUCUCCAGGCUUAACCUGGAAACUGCCGUUGAUACUAUAGGUCUUGAAUUUUGUGGAGGUUAGCGGAAUAUGUCAUGUAGCGGUGAAAUGCAUAGAUAUGACAUAGAACACCAAUUGCGAAGGCAGCUGGCUACACAACUAUUGACGCUGAGGCACGAAAGCGUGGGGAUCAAACAGGAUUAGAUACCCCCGUAGUCCCUGUCUCUUAUAA
rnacentral:rRNA from 1 species